GAUGAACGCUAGCGAUAGGCUUAACACAUGCAAGUCGAGGGGCAGCGAGGGUAGCAAUACCUGUCGGCGACCGGCGCACGGGUGAGUAACGCGUAUGUAACCUGCCCGCAACAGGGGGAUAACCCGGCGAAAGUCGGACUAAUACCGCAUAAAACAGGGGUCCCGCAUGGGAAUAUUUGUUAAAGAUUUAUCGGUUGCGGAUGGGCAUGCGUACCAUUAGGUAGUUGGUGAGGUAACGGCUCACCAAGCUUUCGAUGGUUAGGGGUUCUGAGAGGAAGGUCCCCCACACUGGUACUGAGACACGGACCAGACUCCUACGGGAGGCAGCAGUGAGGAAUAUUGGUCAAUGGGCGAGAGCCUGAACCAGCCAAGUCGCGUGAAGGAUGACUGCCCUAUGGGUUGUAAACUUCUUUUACAAGGGAAUAAAAUGAGAUACGUGUAUUUUAUUGCAUGUACCUUGGGAAUAAGCAUCGGCUAACUCCGUG
rnacentral:rRNA from 1 species